GACGGAGGGUGCAAGCGUUGUUCGGAAUCACUGGGCGUAAAGCGUGCGCAGGCGGUUUUGCAAGUCUGAUGUGAAAUCCCCGGGCUUAACCUGGGAACUGCAUUGGAGACUGCAAGGCUAGAGUGCGUCAGAGGGGGGUAGAAUUCCACGUGUAGCAGUGAAAUGCGUAGAGAUGUGGAGGAAUACCGAUGGCGAAGGUAGCCCCCUGGGAUGACACUGACUUUCAUGCACGAAAGCGUGGGGAGCAAACAGG
rnacentral:rRNA from 1 species